UGAAAGUGCACAGGACUCUUGUUAUAUGUAAAGAUAGGAAUGGAAAGACUUCUGUGACACACUCCCAGUUAGUUCUUUGAACUCAUUCCGAGCCAACAAUCCUCUCCUGAGUUAGCCUCAAAAAUUGUUUUUAUCGCUCUGUCAGUUUGCUCCUCUACUAGGUCCGCUGCAGUUUUGUUGAAGACAAAGAGUCGGAAACCCCCUGACUUGAAAGAGCACGUGUUACUGAGUCCUCACAGUCGUUUGUCGCCUCAGCACCGACACCGGUAUUUCCAGUCCUCUCUCUGUCUGGCGCCCAGGGAAACGUGCCGUAGUCAGACUAGGAGGGCGCAGAGGUGCUCAACUAUCCGUUGAUGGAAUGAAUGAACGAACAAAUGAAUGAAUAGCGUAUGCCUCCUUCUUUUCUGGGAACAAGCCCUAUUUACAGGAGAGGCUCCAAGGCUGACCUGCUGCUUGGCCAAAGCUGAUUGAUCGAGGGGUGGACACGGAACCCAAUCCAGGCCAAUCAUGUCUUUUUUCUGGGAAUUUAAAAUUUGGAACCGGAAAAAAAGAGACUGGGCACUGCUGAGUCCCUCUGUGCUCUAGAGAGCAGCCUGCUGCUCCUGCUGUUUGGUACCAAAGGCAUUGGUUUCUGCUCUUCUCUGCUUUCUUGAAUCGGAUAAAGAUCUACAUAUAUAACUAUUAAAUAACAACGCGAAAGUAUUUCGAUUAAGUGCCAAAAUGCGAAGUAGAGACUAUAAGUGCUGUAAAAGGUCACAAUCUGGAGAGAUCAGCGAAGGCUAGCUUCACUGUAUCUUGUUGCCCUGGCUUGCUUUCUUGAGGAGAGCUACUGUGAAUGUCAUUGUAUUUUCCAAGCCACAAGUUGCAGUAUAGCAGUCCCCCCUUAUCUGUGGUUUCACUUUUCACAGUUUCAGUUACCUGUGGUCAACCACGGUCUGAAAAUAUUUAAUGGAAAAUUCCAGAAAUAAAC
rnacentral:lncRNA from 1 species